rnacentral:rRNA from 1 species
ACUCCUACGGGAGGCAGCAGUAAGGAAUAUUGGACAAUGCCCGCAAGGGUGAUCCAGCCAUGCCGCGUGCAGGAAGACGGCCCUAUGGGUUGUAAACUGCUUUUACACCGGAGAAAACCCCCCUACGUGUAGGGGGCUGAUAGUAUGGUGAGAAUAAGCAUCGGCUAACUUCGUGCCAGCAGCCGCGGUAAU